AGGAAGCGCGGGCGUCUGCCCUCCCGCCGCCCGUUUCGAGGUCGUGGAGAGGAGAGGAAAUGGCCCCGGAGCAACCACGCAGCUGCCUGAUCGUCUGGCCCGACCGCGCCUCAGUAGAUUUGGGUCCUGGUCUGAGCAGCCGGGCUGGUGCGGGUGUCCUCACUAGGAUAAUGAAUACAGCUCCACUACCUAUACUACCCAAGACGACCCCUCACACGCUCUGCGAGGAAACCGGUCUUCGGACCUGUGCCCCCAACCUGGUGGCCUGCACCAGUGAUAGGGCAAUUUGACUCCUAGUCGUGGGGGCUUGUGAUACUAUCUCUACCUACAGACACCCACUGCCUGUCACUGCACAGUAAACCUUCCUGCUCCACAGGGCUGCCUCCCCACUGGAAUUCCCACCGUGUUCCUGGUUCUGGAAAGUCUGUUUUCCCGGGUGGCCAUGAUACCCUCCCUACUACUCCACUUCUUCCUUGCAGUCACAAGCAGCAGAGUGGAAUGGGAGCUCGACACUGACUAGGCCUUUAACAGUCCUAAGGUAUGUUAGUCCUAAGGUAUGUUAGUCCCAGGGAGUCCGUUAGAUCUGUACAGAAGUCAAGUGGCAGGGCCCAAGCGUUGCCUGUCUACAAGGAAUGGGCCUCGUCAUCCAGCUCUGGCUACCCACAACCCAACUACAGCUCGACCUCCCAUACCUCCUCCCUCUCUCGCCUACCACAGGCCUGGCUUCCCUUCUGAGCCGCCAAUCUGAAGCCACACAAAGGCCUGUUUGUUUGCUUUCACUCCGACUCCCCCCCCUGGAUCCUAUGUCUUUUCUCUGCUACCUGCCGGCAGGGCUUCCUCUCCCAGCCGCCAGCGGGCUGAAGAGGAGGGGCCGAAGGGAAAGAGGGGCAGCCAUUGCAGAAAGCCCUGCCUCAUGAUCACCCCGUGGUUCCUCGAAUCCACCUCCCUAGUACCAGGAGCUCUCAGUUUGAUGGCUUGACAAAUGACGAUGACACUGGUGUCCCUUCAAGGUGUCUCCGAAUAAAGGGAGCUAGCUGGGUGGGCAAUACCUGGGUAGAGAAAGAGGAGCAGAUAGACUCAGCUAGUCUCCCCCUAUCCAUGUGAACAAGAUUUGUUUGUAAGAAAGGCUGCCUUGGCUUUCUAAGCAACCUGGAGUCUGCCAGGAGAUAUGGAGAUGAAGGGGGCCAGGAGGCCUCGAUGGAGCAGGCAGAAGGAUGUUGUUUCCCAGCUCCCCCUCGGUUGGUGGGUGCCCUCAGUGUCCACUUUGGCUAGGCACCCCAGAGAACAUCUUGUGUCUCAGAAGCCCUGCACAGCCAAGUGAGCUGAAAUAAGGCUUUCACGGGCAAAGAAAAACAAACAGCCACAUUCCACACCACCUUCUCUACCUGCAGAGGGAGGCUGCCCUCUCUCCCCAUUCAAAUAAAGAAAUUCGACACUGAUAUAGCACAGAGAUAGGCAAUCUGGCCUGGCUCCCCCACCAGAGCUCUUUUAUUGCACCCUGCCAAGCUGGGUGGCCCAGGGCGGGUCCUUCCCUCCCUGGGGCCUCUUUCCCUUUCCAGGCUGAGUUUAACCCCUAUGGCCACUUCCAGGAUGAAAACAUUAUGCCCACCCAAGAAUGGAGGAAACCAAAAGAAAAACCCACAGGAAGAAAAACCUCCCUAGUCAACCUCAGGGCUGUCUGUCUCCAAACCUUAAACUUUUCUUACCUGAAAACAGUGUCAUUUCACAGCAGCUGAUUGAUUAUCUAUGAAACGGGUGAAUGACUAAUGUGAAAGGAAGGUGGUAAGCAGGGUUAACUUGGAGCCCAGUAGUUGUGAUUCUCAACUGGUUGAGCUCAUGUCGGUCUCUUAACCUUUCUGAGCUUUAGUUUCUUUGACAGAACAGUUAAGGGUUAGAGAGGACCACCCAGUACCUGGCACAAAGCAGGUACAGCUUAAAUGAUAGUUCUCCUGGCAAUGAGAGACGGGCCUUCACUCAUCAGAGGAGUCAGAGCUCCCUUCCCUUCGCCUUCACCAGCUGGCUUUGUCUACAGGUAUCCCAUCACUUCUUCCCAUCUCUGACCUCUAGAAACUUCUGGUAAAGGCCACAGCCACCCCACCUGACGUCCCUAAGCUCCCAAGAGACAGUGUCACCCCAAGGGAAUAAAGCCAGCUCCAUCAACGUUAUGCUAAGUCUGAUUUGGCAAACCCUGUUUUUAGUGCUAUUUUGAGCCACAGUGGGGAUUUUCUGUGCUGUCUCAAAGGUAUACAUAGGAUUGCUUCCCAUCCCACUCCUCUCUGUGCUUGACAUGAAAAUGUUGUUCUUCCUCUUCUCUCUCUCCCCACCUAUUAGAGGAUGUAAUCCAAACAAAGGCUAGAAUCUAGGAUUUGGUUCCAGAGCAGCCUGGGAUAGCAAUGGCCUCUAUUCUCUCAUACCUAACCUGAUCUUCUGUUUCCACAGUGCAACAGAAGAGCUGCAGCUUUCAGACAGACAGAGUGAAAGGUUUCUCAUUAGCAUCCCUCAACCUCGGGAAGCUUCUCCCGGUCCCGAAGGCUAAGAGCCUUUUCCAGCAGCCAGCCUUGCAAUGCUACCCUUCUCCUCCACCUCUGAAGCUUUGAGAUUGGGCCACCAUGUUGGACUAGGAUUGCAGAAGGCCAUUGCUGGUUCUGCACUUUCCUUUGAGCUUAGACGUCACAACUCAUCAUGCAAUUGUGAUUAUUACAGUCCUUUCUGCAGUGCCAGUGUACCCACCAGGCUGGACACUUCAAAAUGGCAGGGCUAUAUCUGUGUGGCUACUACUACCUUGCAGCAAGGCUUGUUGAGCCCUUACAGUACUAUAGAUGUCUUGGCCAGCUGGUUUGUUGUUAUAGCGACAGUGGACUGCAGUGUUCUGCUGAGACAACCGAGAAUUCCUCCAGACAUGACUCAAACAUCCCCAAGUGACAAAAUUACCUAGAAUUGAUAGCCUCCUCUCUCUCCACAGCCUAUCCUGGCGUCCCUGAAAUAAAUGAAUGCACAGCUCUGCUCUGUCUUAGAA
rnacentral:lncRNA from 1 species